UCUAUAAUACCACUCGACCACAAUGUAUCGGAUGAUUUGUCUACUGACGGUUCUCGCUCUGAUCCAGUCUUCAAGUGCUAGAAGUUGCCGCCAAGCCCGCAGUGACUCCAGUGAAGAGGGCUUUAAGGGCACUUUGACCUUGUGGCAGAUUUGGCCUUUGCUUCAAGGACUGUGGCCACAGCUCACUCCACCUACUACUACUAGGUCUACUACAACAACUACGAGAACUUC